rnacentral:rRNA from 1 species
GUGGGGAAUCUUGCGCAAUGGGCGAAAGCCUGACGCAGCCAUGCCGCGUGGAUGAUGAAGGUCUUAGGAUUGUAAAAUCCUUUCACCGGUGAAGAUAAUGACUGUAGCCGGAGAAGAAGCCCCGGCUAACUUCGUGCCAGCAGCCGCGGUAAUACGAAGGGGGCUAGCGUUGCUCGGAUUUACUGGGCGUAAAGGGCGCGUAGGCGGACAUUUAAGUCAGGGGUGAAAUCCCGGGGCUCAACCUCGGAACUGCCUUUGAUACUGGGUGUCUUGGGUAUGGGAGAGGUGUGUGGAACUCCGAGUGUAGAGGUGAAAUUCGUAGAUAUUCGGAAGAACACCAGUGGCGAAGGCGACACACUGGCUCAUUACUGACGCUGAGGCGCGAAAGCGUGGGGAGCAAACAGGAUUAGAAACCCUUGUAGUCC